GAAGAACGUAGUGAAAUGCGAUAAGUAGUGUGAAUUGCAGAAUUCAGUGAAUCAUCGAAUCUUUGAACGCACAUUGCGCCCUUUGGUAUUCCUUAGGGCAUGCCUGUUCGAGCGUCAUUUAAACCUUCAAGCUCAGCUUGGUGUUGGGUGACUGUCCGCUUCACCGCGGACUCGCCUCAAAAUUAUUGGCGGCCGGUACAUUGGCUUCGAGCGCAGCAGAAACGCGAACUCGGGCCCGUCGUAUUGGCUCCCAGAAGCUAUCUUCACAAUUUUGACCUCGGAUCAGGUAGGGAUACCCGCUGAACUUAAGCAUAUCAAUAAGCGGAGGA
rnacentral:misc_RNA from 1 species